UUUUGACGAUGAGCUAAUCUUAUGUCGAUCUUCCUCAUACCGUUUUGUAACGCCCUCGAUGCGGCUAUAUCUCCCACAUGUCGAAGCACGACUUAGAGGCAUAACCGCAUUGAAAGCAAUGUCGCAAGUGAGGUAAUCUUCACACAACCCAAGUUAUACAAUAGGGGAAAAAUACAUAGUUGGCUUACAAUCGCCACUUCACACAAUUACAUGAAUAAAACAUUACAUCAUCCAAAUACACUCAUGGUCCGACUACGGAACCAAAAUAAAAGAAGAACCCCAAAAGCAACAAGGUCCCCGAUCGACCCCAACUGGGCUCCACUACUGAUCAACUAGAACGAAACAACACAAAGGGCAAGAUCUUCAUCGAGCUCCUAUUGAGCUUGGUUGCGUCAUCUGCACGGACUCAUCGGGACCUGCAAGCUGGUUUGGAAGUAUCUGUGAGCCACGGGGACUCAACAAUCUCGCAUCCUCCCGAUCAUGACUAUUUAAGCUUAUGGGUAAGGUAAAAUGUAUAAGGUGGAGCUACAGCAAGUGACUAGCAUAUAUGGUGGCUAACAUACGCAAAUGAGAGCGAGAAGAGAAGGCAAGGCACGGUCGAGAAAGUAUGAUCAAGAAGUGAUCCUAAACAGCCUACGUCAAGCAUAACUCCAACACCGUGUUCACUUCCCGGACUCCGCCGGAAAGAUACCAUCACGGUUACACACGCGGUUGAUUCAUUUUAAUUAAAGUCGACUUCAGGUUUUCUACAACCAGACAUUAACAAAUUCCCAUCUGCCCAUAACCGCGGGCACGGCUUUCGAAAGUUCGAAUCCCAGCAGGGGGUCCCAACUUAGCCCAUGACAAGCUCUCACGGUCAACAAAGGAAUAGACCUCCUCCCGAGACAUUCCGAUCAGACUCGAUAUCCCGGUACAACAAGACAUUUCGACAGGGUAAAACUAAACCAGCAACACCGCCCGAAUGUGCCGACAAAUCCCGAUAGGAGCUGCACAUAUCUCUUUCUCAGGGCACACUCAGAUGAGACUAGCUACGAGUAAAAUCAACCCUCAAGUUUCCCUAAGGUGGCCCCGCAGGCAGCUCAGUUCGGACCAACACUCAGAGGAGCACUGGCUCGGGGGGGGGUUAAAAUAAGGAUGACCCUCGGGCUGGCCGACCCAAGGGAAAGAAAAGGCUAGGUGGCGAAUGGUAACACCAAUGUUGGGCAUUGCUGGAAGAGCUUUACUUAAGGCGAACUGUCAAGGGGUUCCCAUUAUAGCCCAACCGCGUAAGGGACGCAAAAUCCGGGAACAUAACACCGAUAUGACGGAAACUAGGGCGGCAAGAGUGGAACAAAACACCAGGCAUAAGGCCGAGCCUUCCACCCUUUACCAAGUGUAUAGAUGCAUUAAUUAAAUAAGAUAUAUUGUGAUAACCCAACAAGUAAACAUGUUCCAACCAGGAACUACAUCUACAUGUUCCAACAAGGAAGAAAACUCCAUUCUUCACCUGCAACUAACAACGCUAUAAAAGGGGCUGAGAAAAGCGGUAACAUAGCCAAUCAACGGUUUGCUAGGACAAGGUGGGUUAGAGGCUUGGUUCAACAAUAUGGGAGGCAUGAUAAGCAAGUGGUAGGUAUCGCAGCAUAUGCAUAGCGAAAGAGCGAGCAACUAAGCAAGCAAAGAUAGAAGUGAUUUCGAGGGUAUGAUCAUCUUGCCUGAAAUCCCGCAAGGAAGAAGAACGAGUCCAUGAAGAAGACAAACGGGCGUAGACGAACGGUUCCUCACAAUCAAACGUCAUCGGAACCAACCCGAAGAAGCAACACCGGAAAGAAGCAAACAACAUAGUAAAACAACCAACACAUAAACAUGGUAUGAUGCACAACCAAGUAUGAUGCAUGUCCGGUUUAAUGAAGCAUGGCAUGGCAAAACGCACAAACAAUCCUACAAAUUAAGUGGAGCUCAACAUGCAACUCCGUUGCAUAUUGACGAAACACCACAUGACUUAUUUAGUUCUCUCUCGUUAGGUACUCAACAAUAUUAAAUGUUGUUUAAACAUGGCAAGAGGUGAAGCAUAACAAAACUAUACCAUCUAAACAAUUUAAAUG
rnacentral:lncRNA from 1 species